rnacentral:lncRNA from 1 species
AUUUAAGCAAUGGAAACAGGAAGCAUUUCACUUUUCCCCUCCAUGCUUCCUCCAGUGGUGGGAUGUGAGCCACUGGCAAGAUGACCUGGUGCAGACACAUGCAGGUUCCAUACUUGUAUUUUAGUCUCUGUGAGCCCAGGGAUUUCCAAACACUGAGAAGAGACCCCUCAUUGAGGCCACCAAUUUAGACUCUUCAUAAUGUCUUCCUGUGGGUCUCUGCUACAGCUCAUAUCUGUUGUUGGGGAAGCCUCUCUGAUGGUGAAUGGACAAGGCACUGAUCUAAGAGUAUAGAAGAGUCUUCACAAAGGUCACCUUCAUAUUGGAAGUUUCCACUGCACAUGAUUUAACUUGAGGUCUAUACCAGGAGAAGGAUCCCAUAUCCUACACUGCCUGGAUGAUCAGGAACCAUAGACUGAACAGCCUGUGGUAGAAUCAGAGACCUAAGGAUGUGCAACUGUUGCAAGAUGCCAUGAACAAGAUGACUUCCUCUUACUCCUAGAACCACACGCAGAAUUGCACGGAUACUUUCCUCUGAGUCUCCAGCUCCAAGUCCUGAGAAGCCAAAUUCAGGGAGAAGAUGUCCAGGAGACCAUGGCUAGAAGCCUUCUCCAAGGCAGGAAUGACAAAGACAUUAGAGUCAGCAUGUGAUCUACUUAGGCUAUUGUAUAUGGCUUGCAAGCCUUUGCAGGCCCUUGUCCAGAAUAGGAAGCCUAGACAUCAUGUCCCUUGCUCAUAACUUCCUUCUCUCUGCUCCUUAUAUUCUGGCCAGUAACCAGCCUGAGUCCCCUCUCCCUGAAAUUGUCCACAGUAUUACUCAAACUCUGUGCCUCAGCUUAAUGGGCUCUUCUGACUGCAUUACCCCCUCCAUUAGCAUUAUGACAAAUUCUUGUGUUCCAGAAAGUUACAACUGUCACCCAGUCAAUCUACAGGAUUGAGGAUAUGCAUGUCCCCAUCAGGGGAGUAUCUGUCCCUGUAGAUUUGUGGUGACUGCUUCUCUUCUGUCCAGCUUUAUCUCUGGCAACUGACAAAAAUGUUCAGCAAAACAUUGGUGCUGGGGAAAAAUCUAUGCAGAACAAAAGAAAGAAAUGGCCAUAACGACAUAGUGUAAAUGUUCAAAUAUGAAGAAUUAUAGGAGUAGUGAAAGAAAGGUGAAGAAUUUGUAGAUGAAGGAUAUGGAGUGGAAGCUGGAGAUAUGUUUCUAAGACAAAGAGAUAAGAGCAGAACAGGACAAGACAAGAGGAAAGCAUGAGGUUGUUGAAAAAUCUGUUACUACAGAUAACGUGCAGGACACUAUAAAUAUGUUAAACACUGAAUUGCCUAACUAAAGUAAUGGUUGAAAAAUAUGCUAGUGUAGUUAAAAACAAUAUACUUAUAAAAUUUUAAUAUUCUGAGAAAGUAACUUACAAAGUCGACUUCAUAAAAUGCCAGUAUACUUAAGUCAUUGAAUACAUUGACAGAUUUUUAAGAAAAGUAAUGCAAUUCUGUCAUGUGGAAAUUUUUCUUCAAACUGGAAAGUAAGUAAUCUUUUGUUGCAUAUAGUAUUUAUAUUACAGAGCUAGAAUAAUUGCCUAUUGACACUGCCACUUUGUAUGUGCGGGAUGUGUGUGAAUGUUUAUUCUGUGAAGAGAUGAGAUCUUUGUGUCAGAAAUAUGGCAAAUAAACAUGAGGCUAUUACUGAUAAAAGUCACUAAAUGUCAUUGUUUUAUACAUAACUUCAAAGAUACUAGACUAUCUUUGUUGUAGUUUUCUAACAGAUGAUAAUUAUAAGUCACAAUUGGCACAGAAAAAAAAAUAAGACCAUUACAGUUUUUACAUAUAUUAUCUAAACAUCUACUUUCUCCUUACUGGCUGUAAUUGUGAUGAUCUCUUUUAAUCUGAGUUACUUCUGAUUGUGUGUGUUGUUGCAAAGUGAGUUCCUGGGACAUUUCAGCAUCUAUUGUUAAAAUCUCUGGAGAAGCAAUAAUGAUCAUGUAAUUAUUGUUCGUCAACAGUUUGACUAUUAUAUAUCAUUUACAGUCAAUUUAAUUAAAAAGCUCACUGAAUAUUCUGGCAUUAUGUAAAUAAUGUGAAUGAACACAAGAGCUAUUUGUUACGAAAAACACUUAAAAUAGUACUAUAGACACCACAUUUUGCAACUGGAUCGUUAUCUCAGUAUUUCUUAUAAAUAAGUCUUAGAAAAUUGUUUGUGCUACACUUUGAAUUUAGAAUUAAGAAGGGAUUCCUCUACUUUUACUGUGUGUCGCCUUGUUGUCAAUAUGAUUAAAACCCAGAUAAAAUGAGUCUACUGCUGAUAAGCUAUGAAAUAGAAGUAUUGCAUUUUCUUCAUGAUGAAUAAUACAAUACUCAGGUUUGGAAUGAGUGUGUUUUAGCCUAUGUCAGGUUAGAUUGCAUCCUGUCUAUGAUAUUUAUUUGAGUCAUGGGUCGCUUCUCAGGUUUUUUGAAAACUGUGAUGAACUAUUUGCAGAAAUGCUACAUCCUGUAUUUUUGCAUUAAGAUAAGAAGCAUAAAGUAAAAAUUCUUCCAUUAGUCAAAAAUAUAAUAAUAACUGCCUUAGGAUUGCUUUACUCUGAUGAAACAAAAGAAACUUGGGAAAAAAUUUGAAGGAAGGGAUUUAUUCAACUAUUACUUCCACAUUACAGUUCAUCCUCAAAUGAAUUUAGGACAGAUGCUCAAGCAGGAAAGGAACCUGAAGACAGAAAGUGAUACAGAAGCCAUGGAAGUUUGCUGCUUAGUUGGUUGCUUCCCAUUGCUUGCUCAGUCUGUUUUCUUAUAGAACCCAGGAACCACCAGUCCAGGAAUAGCACCACCCACAAUAGGCUGGGCCCACUCCCAUCAAUCACUAACUAAGAAAAUACCCUACAGGUUUGUCUACAGCCUGAUUUUAUGGAGGUAUUUUCUCAAGUGAGGUUCCUCCUCUCAGGUGACUUUAGCCUGUGUCAAGUGGAUAUGAAACUAGCCAGUCAGUACAGGAACCAACAUAAGGCAUAAACCCUCUUUAUAGGGAAGCCAAAGUAACAAGAGUUUUGAAAGUGAACACAUGAGUGAGUAGGUCCAGAGACAGGGGAAUCCUUAGAACUUGGUGAAAAUCCAUUGUAACUAAUGUAAGAGAACAAGGUUAAAUUUGAGAACCUGUCUCAAUAAAUAAAUAAGUAAAGAACAUGAGAGAAAUAAACCUGGAGUUGACAUCUGACCUCCACAUGUACAGAUAGAGGCAAGUACACCUAGACACAUUUGUGUAAACACACAUGCACUCACACAUACACACACACUCUCUUUCUCACACACUACAAACAUAUAUACUAAAAUAGGUAAAUGUCAAGUUAUUAAAUUGUAGCAUUUGUUUUUAAAGUUUACCUUAUACUAAGUGAAAUAGAAAUUAGUUAUUGUGUAAAGAUGUAAAGCUUUAUUCCCUCAAAGUCUUUAAAAGAUCAUCUAUUUCACAAUUCUUCCUAAAGCUAUCAUCAAUGUUUCAAUUCUUCUUUUAUUUACCCCAAAGGCAUGCUUGUCUACACUUAUGAUAUCAAAGAGAUGGUAUGAUGAGUUCAGAUUAAACAAAAUGUUUUGCUAAUCUAAAAUCAUUUAGCUAAAAAAUACCACUCAAUUUUAGUAUCCAUCUUAGACUGUAUUUUAAAUCAUAUUACAGUUUUCACAAAAAACAGGUAAACAAAGAUAUCCACCAUAACAUUAGGCACAAAAAUAAAAGAUACAGAUAUUGGGGUUCAGGCUUCAACCUGAAGAUCAUACAAGCAAAGCAGCUGGCCACUAGCUCUUACCUCUACCUCAGCUCAGACUAAAGGGGCAAUCCUCAGACUACUGCCAACUUUACUACUUCUCAGUUUCACUCAGACUGCUAUGCUUUCCUCAGAAUUGUUUUUUUGACUAACUCUCAGACUGAAUGCCUGUACCUUUUAUACUUCUCAAAUCCUGGGAUUAUAGGCAUGAGCUCUGAUUCACUCUCCGGUGGCCCAGGAGCAUCUUAUAUUCUGAGAUGUUCAAAAAUCUUAAUCCUGAGUCCUGGAUUUAAAUUUAUGUGCCUGGCUUCAAUGGCUAACUAGUGUGGCUGCUUUGCUAUUUUGAUUUUCAGUGGUUUUAAUAAAUCAUAAAAAAUAUUAGUCACCUGCCUCAUUGCUAUAACGCAGGGGGUGACAAGAAGCAUGUUAAAGGAGAAAAGGUGCCUUUUGACUCACAGUUACAGAUUGAAGCUCAUUACAGCAGGCAAGUCACAAUGGCAGGAUAUUGGGGUGGCUGUUCACAUUGAAUCCACAGACCAGAAGCAGAAGGUAUUGAUCCCCCUUGCUCAGGCCCUUCCAUGCUGGGGUUAAAGACGUGUGCUAUUACACCAAGCUUUCAUUAUGGGUCCUGGGAUCUAAACCCCAUGCUAAUUCUUUUGCAGUAGACAUUUUACCAACUGAGUCUUCCCACAUCUAAAUUUAACUAUUUUAAAUCAGCAGUUCUCAGGAAAUACACCAAAAUGGAAUUAUUCUACAGUUAUAUUUACUAUCAAUGUCUUCUCAUAACAUUUCAUCUAUUUCUUUGCAUGCUUACAGCUGAUUUAUUCUCCAUUCAUAACAUUUUAUUAUUUCCCCUAUAAGGAUUCAGGUAUUAUAUUGCCCUGCCGCUGUCACUUGGCAGAGUGCACUCAGGCAGUACCCUGGUCAGCCCUGAGCUCUAUGGAUUUUGCACACAGUUGCAAAGGACCCCAUUAAGAGAAAGACCCCAACCACAAAGUGGUCUUUUUGCCUGCUCAUCUCUUUCUGCUAUCUUCUCUUUCCUGAUCCUCUCUUUCCCCUGUCUUGCCUGCUGCUCCCCUGGGGCAGACCAGACUUUUCCUGUCUCCCCCUUCUCUCCUGUACUCUCUCUGUGUGUCUCUUUCCCCUUUUCUCGUCCCUUCCUCCUUCCAUCUCUGUUCCCAGUUGGCCAACAUCUACUCCUCCAUUCAUUCCCAUUCCCAACAAACUCCAUAUGUGUUUGCUGAGUUUUGUGGUUAGUGUUUCAUUGCCCACAGCCUCAGCAAAAACUACAUCCCCCACUGGAAGACAAAUGUUACACAAUCUCAAUUUUAUGUGUAACCUAGAAAUGAUGAACUUAUGGGAACAGAGAGCAGAAUUGUGGCUAUUAGGCUUCAAUGUGGGUCUUUUAACAAUGGGGAAACGAUUGGUUUAAGGAUAUAAAACUGCAGUUGGACAAGAGUCAUGGACUCUCUGAAGUCUUGAGGUCUACUGGGAGCAUGAUAAAUAUGGUUGAUAACAAUAUGCUCUAUUUUAAGAGUUGUGAGAUAGUAUACUUUAAGUGUUCUCAAAACAAAAAUGAUGAAUAUGUGUGAUAUAACAUGUUAAUUGGUUUAAUUUAGCCAUGCCAUUGUGAACAUACUGUAUUGUGUAUCAUAAUUGUGCAUGACUUUAUUUAUGAGCUAAAUAAAUGAAUGAAAAAAAACUGCAUCCCCUAUUAACACUGUCAUGCAUCAGUGGGCAGAAAAAUAAUAAUAUUCUCCUUAUGGAGAUACAGAUACUACCAAGGCUUUAUGAGACAAAUCCAAUAAUAAAAAUGCAUGUGAAAAUCCAUAUUUCUCUACUACAUUGAUUGGAGAGAUCCUGAUGUUGUAAAAUUUAAAGAAGUAAUUAUACCAAAUGAAAUAAUGAAUGAAUCAAAUAACCACAGGAAUGG